rnacentral:lncRNA from 1 species
AUUUUUAACUUAAAAUUCCGUACACUUUUCUCAUACUUCAGUAACUAAUGUUCUAAAGUAAAAGUGUGAGGUACAAAAAUGUUAGCAAGCAAAAUGCUUCUAAAAUUAGUGCUUCACUUUUUAGUUGAGAUGAGAAGGAUGCUUGAUUAAGGUUUAGAGCUGAUUUCUUGAUUUAUUUCUUACAAGUAGAAAUUAAAGCUCUUAUCAGAAGAAUCAUGGAAAGUCAGCACCAUUUUCACUUCAGCAGCAAAGAGAAUUGUGGUUCCAUGGUUACAUAGUGAAGGACUAUUCUGUGGAUGAAGAAAGCUCCCCAGACUGUCACACCUGCAGCCAUCCACAGGAGUUACCCGUUGCCAUAUGUAUGGAUGAAGCCAG